GACUUAAGCAUAUCAAUAAGCGGAGGAAAAGAAACCAACAGGGAUUGCCUCAGUAACGGCGAGUGAAGCGGCAACAGCUCAAAUUUGAAAUCUGACCCCUUCGGGGCCCGAGUUGUAAUUUGUAGAGGAUGCUUCGGGUGCGGCGCCGGUCUAAGUUCCUUGGAACAGGACGUCAUAGAGGGUGAGAAUCCCGUAUGCGACCGGCGGCCAACCCCGUGUGAAGCCCCUUCGACGAGUCGAGUUGUUUGGGAAUGCAGCUCAAAAUGGGUGGUAAAUUUCAUCUAAAGCUAAAUACCGGCCAGAGACCGAUAGCGCACAAGUAGAGUGAUCGAAAGAUGAAAAGCACUUUGGAAAGAGAGUCAAACAGUACGUGAAAUUGUUGAAAGGGAAGCGCUUGCAACCAGACCUGCCCGCGGGCGAUCAGCCGUUAUUCUUAGCGGUGCACUCGUCCGCGAUCAGGCCAGCAUCGGUUCGAGCGGCCGGAUAAAGGCCUCGGGAAUGUAGCUCCCCCCGGGGAGUCUUAUAGCCCGGGGUGCAAUGCGGCCAGCCCGGACCGAGGACCGCGCUUCGGCUAGGAUGCUGGCGUAAUGGUUGUAAGCGACCCGUCUUGAAACACGGACC
rnacentral:rRNA from 1 species